rnacentral:rRNA from 1 species
UAGGGAAUCUUCCGCAAUGGACGAAAGUCUGACGGAGCAACGCCGCGUGAGUGAAGAAGGAUUUCGGUUCGUAAAACUCUGUUGUUAGGGAAGAAAAAAUGUAUAGUAACUAUAUACAAAAGAGACGGUACCUAACCAGAAAGCCACGGCUAACUACGUGCCAGCAGCCGCGGUAAUACGUAGGUGGCAAGCGUUUGCCGUAAUUAUUGGGCGUAAAGCGCGCGCAGGUGGUUUAGAAAGUCUGAUGUGAAAGACCACGGCUCAACCGUGGAGGGUCAUUGGAAACUAAUAAACUUGAGUGCAGGGGGGAAAAGUGGAAUUCCUAGUGUAGCGGUGAGAUGCGUAGAGAUUAGGAGGAACACCGGUGGCGAAAGCGGGUUUUUGGCCUGCAACUGACACUGAGGCGCGAAAGCGUGGGGGGCAAACAGG